UACGGGGGGAGCAAGCGUUGUUCGGAUUUACUGGGCGUAAAGGGCGCGUAGGCGGUCAGCACAAGUCAGUUGUGAAAUCUCCGGGCUUAACUCGGAAAGGUCAACUGAUACUGUGCGACUAGAGUGCAGAAGGGGCAACUGGAAUUCUCGGUGUAGCGGUGAAAUGCGUAGAUAUCGAGAGGAACACCUGCGGCGAAGGCGGUUCUCUGGGACGGUACUGACGCUGAGACGCGAAAGCGUGGGGAGCGAACAGG
rnacentral:rRNA from 1 species